rnacentral:rRNA from 1 species
AUUGAACGCUGGCGGCAUGCCUUACACAUGCAAGUCGAACGGCCGCACGGGUGCUUGCCCCUGGUGGCGAGUGGCGAACGGGUGAGUAAUACAUCGGAACAUGUCCUGUAGUGGGGGAUAGCCCGGCGAAAGCCGGAUUAAUACCGCAUACGAUCUACGGAUGAAAGCGGGGGACCUUCGGGCCUCGCGCUAUAGGGUUGGCCGAUGGCUGAUUAGCUAGUUGGUGGGGUAAGGCCUACCAAGGCGACGAUCAGUAGCUGGUCUGAGAGGACGACCAGCCACACUGGGACUGAGACACGGCCCAGACUCCUACGGGAGGCAGCAGUGGGGAAUUUUGGACAAUGGGCGAAAGCCUGAUCCAGCAAUGCCGCGUGUGUGAAGAAGGCCUUCGGGUUGUAAAGCACUUUUGUCCGGAAAGAAAUCCUUGGCCCUAAUACGGUCGGGGGAUGACGGUACCGGAAGAAUAAGCACCGGCUAACUACGUG